AAAAGGUUAAGGACACCACAUGCAUAGAUUGCCAAGGUGGAUUCGGCUGGUCUGGCUGGCUGGGCAGAUGACCCCUUCCUACCCCAACAUUCCAUGUGUGUCCCUCCUGAAGCUGCAGCUUGCUCAGUGGAAGGGAGUGCCUCCCUACCUCUGUAGAGGAGGAGUGUUUCUUUGGCCCAGGGUAAAUUGUACUAUGAAAUGAUAUUGUACUAUGUUGAGAUAUUGCUAAUAUUUCAACAAUCAAUACCUAACUUUUGAACAAAGCAUCAUUUUGCUCAUUUAUUAUGCUAACUGAUUUGCUUUCAUCU
rnacentral:snRNA from 1 species